ensembl:lncRNA
GACACCCCAGGUGGGGGAUGACGUCUCAAAGGGAGAGGAAGCUUAAGCUACGUCCAGACAAGGAUCUAGAUGACUUCCAGUUUUCUGAGGUUGGCUGGAUGCCCUUCAGUGGCUAUUGUUAAUUGUCCCAUCCUGGUGCGACAGCUGAGUCCUUUGUGGCUGGACCCUAGAGUCUCCAGUGAGCAUGCUGCCUGACUUGCUACGCUUGCAUGAAGGCACGGAAUUGGGGUCAGAAGCCUGCUUUCCUGCUUCUGAAGCCUGAACAAGACUUCCUCCAUUUAAAAUUCCCUAACAGGGUGGAAUGGCUGAGUCAAAUGGAAGGCAGUGACCUGAGUUCCAGAAUGAAGAGACUUUAACAAUCAUCCAGGCCAGAAGAGGAUGCUGGGUCCUCAGUCAGCCUGUGUCCGUCUCUGAAAUAAUGCUGAGCUUCACCCUCUCCCAUCUGCCUCUGGAUGUACCUGCUUGUGCUAAAGGGACCACUGUUCUCCCAAUAACCCUCCUGAUGAUCUGUUCCAUGCAGGCCACUCUGGGUCCUGCUCACUGGGGUGGAGAUCCCAGAUUCCUUCAUGCCCCCUGGCCUGGGUGUCAUCCUCACCCCACUCUCAGGGGCUGUCGUACUUCUCUGUCUCUGUCCCCAUGAAACCCUGGCAGCCCCUGAGGCUGCCCUUGGGCCAGCUGUCUGGGCAUCUCUCAGAUUUUGCUGCUGCUACUUUCUCUAAGAGACUUGCAGGCUUCCCAGGCUUUGCUUUGAGAGGGAAGAGCUAGUCCUUUCCCACCUCGGGUUCUCUAA